UCUGAUCUAUGAUGAUCACUAAAUAAUAUUAUGUGGACUGUUGGAUGAAGCUUGCGGAUAUGGGACUGAGAUCAGGC